GACCUCGUAGCUCAGUUGGUAGACCUUUGGACUAGCAAACAAAUGGUUGCGGGUUCGAUUCCCACCGCGGUCA